CCAUACAGAGCGCCCAUGCUACAUAAUAAAACCAGGAACAGAGCCCAACUCGCCAUCACUCAACUCUUCGUAUGGUCCCAGCCUCCCAGAGAAAGGACUCGAUUAUAUGCUCCAAGUUUAGUUCUUUCAAAUUUCAAAUGGCAGAGGUAACCAAUAAAUGCUAUCAAAAUCCUCACUAACCCGGCUGAAAGUAGCCUGAAACAAUCCCCAGCUCUAUACAACAGAAAAGAAAGCAACUAUGUAGUCAGCUCCAGUGCACGUUAUAACGCUGGUAGGGUCAUCAUAUGCGAAGCUGUAUGCUGCUGGGCAUACUUGUUUGAAACUCUUGGAAUAAUUCGUAGGUAGACAUGUGGAUGGAUUUCCAU